rnacentral:rRNA from 1 species
UUAAAAGCUCGUAGUUGGAUCCCAGUUGCAGACGGGCGGUCCGCCUCAUGGCGGUUCACUGCCCCGUUCUCGACAUACCUCCGGUUAUAUUUGUCCCGCGAUGCUCUUUACCGGGUGUCGCGGGGGGCCGGUACGUUUACUUUGAAAAAAUUAGAGUGCUCAAAGCAGGCGAUGGCCAGAAUAAUGGUGCAUGGAAUAAUGGAAUAGGACCUCGGUUCUAUCUUGUUGGUUCUUCGGAACACGAGGUAAUGAUUAAUAGGGACGGACGGGGGCAUUCGUAUUGCGACGUUAGAGGUGAAAUUCUUGGAUCGUCGCAAGACGAACUACUGCGAAAGCAUUUGCCAAGAAUGUUUUCGUUAAUCAAGAACGAAAGUUAGAGGUUCGAAGGCGAUCAGAUACCGCCCUAGUUCUAACCAUAAACGAUGCCAACCAGCGAUCCGUCGGCGUUACUUCGAAUGACCCGACGAGCAGCUUCCGGGAAACCAAAGUUUCUGGGUUCCGGGGGAAGUAUGGUUGCAAAGCCGAAACUUAAAGGAAUUGACGGAAGGGCACCACCAGGAGUGGAGCCUGCGGCUUAAUUUGACCCAAACACGGGAUGUCCC